rnacentral:lncRNA from 1 species
GGAUCAGUAGCCUGAGCCAUCCUACCCUUCCUGUGCAGAGAUCCUGGUGUAGGGUGGCCCUCUGUGCUACACAACUAGGCAGACCUUAAGGCAUUCAGAGCACCUGCUUGCCUCAUUCAGCAGUCUGAGUCAUCCCACCCUUCCUGUGCAGAGAUCCUUGUGUGUGGGGCCCUCUCUGCCACACACCCAGGCAGAUCUCUAGGCAUCUGGAGUACUCACUCUCUUGGAUUAGAAGUUUAGGCCAUCUCCAAACCCCUUGCAGUGAAUCUGGAGCCAAGUUUUCCCAACAUCAUGCCUAGGCACACCUCUGGGCACUUAGUGGGCUGCCCACUGGAUUCUCCCUCAGUGCUGGUGCUGGUGCCUGCUAUUGGGAGAAAAGAAGGUGCACCUGCCAAGCCUGCCCCUG